rnacentral:snRNA from 1 species
AUGCUCGCUUCGGCAGCACAUAUACUAAAAUUGGAAUGAUACAGAGAAGAUUAGCAUGGCCUCUGCGCAAGGAUGACACACAAAUUCAUGAAGAAACAAAGACAUAGAAAUUUUUU